CCUCAGCUCUUCUCCCACCUCCUCUCCCUUCCCCACAGCAAAGCAUAGUCUGUAUUUUCUAGGCCCCUCAGUCAAGACGGGUCAGGGGAUCCAAGUGCAGGCCUACCUCUUUCUUCAUAUAUAUAUAUAUUUUUUUUCUUUUUUGAGACAGAGUCUUGCUCUGUAGCCCAGGCUGGAGUGCAGUGGCUCCAUCUUGGCUCACUGCAACCUCUGCCUCCCGGUUCAAGCAAUUCUCCUGCAUCAGCCUCCAGAGUAGCUGGGACUACAGGCAUUUGCCACCAUACCAGGCCAAUUUUUUUUUUUUUUGUAUUUUUAGUAGAGAUGGGGUUUCACCAUGUUGGCCAGGCUGGUCUUGAACUCCUGACCUUGAGUGAUCUGCCCAUCUCGGCCUCCCAAAGUGCUGAGAUUACAGGCAUGAGCCACAGCACCCAGCCUUUCUUCCAAGAUUUUACACACAGUGGCAGUUUCCAUGAUGCAAGCACAUGGGGGCAUCUCCUAAUCCAGCCACCCUCAGGGACCACUUUGGUCAAUCUCCUUAGGAUAGGAUAAAUGAACGCUGCUUCACAAAAGGAGAGGUUCUGUUUCUAGACAGAAAGGGAGCAGGCAGCAUUGGGAGGUCUUGUGGCUUAGCCAAGUCUGAGGUGCUAACUACACACUACCAGUAGCCAGUAUUUCACUUCAGAUGGAGUAUUAACAGCUCUGAAGGCAACCAGGCAGGCCUGGACUCCCCCAGAGGCAGAGGCAGUGAUGACUUACCCCUCCCCCCUAAAAUGAAUUCUAAAAGAAAUAUAAUUACUGCUAAAGAAAAUGUUUCUGAUUCAAAUAGAUGAAAACUGUAUUAUCAAUUUAAGACUGUUCAAAUUCCCUGAAGCUUGUCAUUAAUCCACCCUAGUUAGGUCAAAAGUCUCUCAAUUUCUGAGUUAAUAGUGUAAUAGAAGCAAGUCAGAUUUUCCAAAACCAUACAAAUCUCCUAAUUUUUUUUUUUUUUUUUUUUGAGAUAGAGUCUCACUCUGUUUCCCAGGCUGGAGUGCAGUGACACAAUCUCCGCUCACUGCAACGUCUGCCUCCCAGGUUCAAGCAAUUCUCCUGUCUCAGUCUCCCAAGUAGCUGGGACUACAGGUGCCCGCCAGCAUGCCUGGCUAAUUUUUCUAUUUUUAGUAGAGACAGGGUUUCACCAUGUUGGCCAAGCUGGUCUCAAACUCCUGACCUCAGGUGAUCCACCUGUCUUGGUCUCCCAAAGUGCUGGGAUUACAGGCCAGAGCCACUGUGCCCAACCCAAAUCUCCUAAAUUUUCUUUUUUUUUUUUCCCGAGACAGAGUCUUCCUCUGUCCUGUUGGGGGAAGCAGCAGUGGAGGAGGGGUUUACAGUGUGCCUACAUAAACUGGUUCUAAGUAAUGUAUAAAAGAUAUCAGGAAUAAUAAACUGUAGAAGGCUGCGGAGGCCUCUGGGGAGGAAGGCCUCUCUAUGCCAGCAUGUUCCCAGGUGCAGAGUGUCCUAAGCUCUGACAUUCUAAACAUAGUGACCAAGGACAUAACACUCCCUUGAAGCACUGGAAUGUAACCAGACAUGUAGGCUCCUUGCUAAGCCCACUCCCACCAGCUGCAUUGUCUAUUGAUAAGCAUAUACUUUUAGCUUGUAAGAAACUCACAUAAACCGCCACUGCUAUCAGUUUUAUGUUUGACGCACAGCCUCCCUUCACCGAUUCACCCUGCCACCUGCACUAUAGAUAAAAGUUAUUGUGUUCAAUAAAUAUUGUGGAAACCGGAGUUCAGGGCCUUCACUGCCUCCAGUACAAAGUGAUGGUCCCCUGGUCCCACUUUCAUUAUCUUUUUCUCAUUCCUUUGUUGCCACAGAACUCAGGGUACCCACGGGUGGGGUGUGGGGGCUGGUUCUGUACAUUCUGGUGCCCAACCGUAGGGCUAGAGAAUUUCGGUGAAGGAACGCCUGAGCGUGGUAAAGUGGAGGAACAACGAGCAAAGGACUCCCGAGGACAAAACUAAUUAGCACUACGCAUGAGUAGAUGCGCUCGGAAGGAUACCAGAGACGGAGUUUCACCAUGUUGAACAGGAUGGUCUCGAUCUCUUGACCUCGUGAUCCACCCGCCUCGGCCUUCCAAAGUGCUGGGACUACAGACAUGAGCCACCGCACCUGGCCUAUAAAAGUCUCUUACAUGUUACUGUUGAUACUUUUUCUCAUUUCAUUUGGGCUACAUGCCAAACCAUAGAAAGCACAGCUCAUGCUAAAAACCAUCUGUCAUCUUGCUUUGCUAUUAUGGGCGUUCCACAAAAAAUUAAAAUAAACAAUGGCCCUGGUUACAGCAAGAAAUCUUUCCAAAAGUUUCUGUUACAAUAAAAAAUUAGUCAUACUACUGAAAUUCCUUAUAAUUCACAAGAACAAGCUAUUGUUAAAAAAAACAAUAGAACAUAAAAAACAUUUACAAAAAAAAAGGUGGGGGGGAACAAAUGCAAUUUAACUUAGCAUUACUAACUUAAAAAUUUUUUAAGCUUGCCAAGGUGACAACAAAUAACAGUGGCUAAACAUCACCUGAAUAAACAAUACAAAGAAGAGAACUUAGGGCAAUUAAUCUGGUGGCAAGACCAUUAACAAAAAGUUGGGAAAAAAGACAAUACAAUAACAUGUGGGGAGAGGAUUUGUUUGUCUCUCUUCAGGUCCAAAUCAGUAACCAGUGUGGGAACCAUCAAACAUCAAACAUUUAAAGCCUUAUCAUGAGCCACGGUUAUCACCAUUACAGACAGAAAAAUUCUGCCUGACCUUUCCCAUCGUCCUGAUGAUGUUAACAAACAACAGCCAUUGGGGGCACAGGAACAGCUCUACACAGGCCAAGAGCUACAGGCUACAGUCUGAGCACAGAAAACCCUGCAGCUCCAGCAUCUAGUAGCCCUGUGGCCCAGACAAUGACCAGGGCGUGAUUCAGGGUGCAGAGCUGCAACUCAGAUCCUGUGCCAUGGUGGUAUCACAGGAAGGACUUGAUGGAGAGGUAAAGGCUCCAGACGCCAGGAUAUUUAUUCCUUGUGCCAACACAGCAUUCAUACCUGACCUCCAGAUCCUGCAGCAGGUCCUCUCCUCAUUCACAGCUCCCCACUGUUCCAUUCUGGGUUCAUUUGCUAUACGCCUAAUUUGUUCUCCCAAUCCACCCCACAGUCCUUUCCUUGCUGGGAACACAGGAAGAGACAAAACAUGAGGAGGGAGAAAGGGAACCUCCAACUAGCCACGGACCUCAUGAUUCCAAGAAUUACAGCUAUCAUUUGUCUUCAAGAA